AGAUUUGAACAUCACUAGAAAUAUGAUUGAUUCACUGUUUGUUAUUAAUACAUUUAGGAGUCGCCAUUAAAAGAUUUGUUAAAAAUGAAAUUCUUUCCUUCCUCGGGGGUAACAAAAGUGAAGUUACCAGGGUGAUUUUUGUUUUUAUUAUUACUAUUACAUUACAUAUUACAAGAACAGUCAGUCAAGAAUACAGCAGGAGGAGGAACUGUCCCCGAUUCAAUCAAGUCCUCCUAUUUGUCUACCACCAUCGUACUAUUAUUUAACAGGGAAGAAAGGAAGGGAAGGAAUCCAAUCCACAGCAAGACCAUAUUACAAAACCAAUUACCAAAACUUAUACGAGUAAACUAGGAGUCUGCCCCCUUUUUACUACUAAUUUUUACAUGCACCAUAUAUACUACUAAUAUAUAUAUCACUAUAUAUAUAUAUAUAUAUAUAUAUAUAUCUCCUUUCAAUAAAUACAUCUAUCUUAUUGCCACAUGUUACAAAGAAUAUCACAACCAUAACACUUGGACCGCCAACCAAACAACCAACCUAAUUUACCGGUCAUAACCCAUGGCUACUACAGGGAUCCUGACCCUGUGCCCCCUGCUUCCUUUCAUCAACACCUCUCCAAAACUGUAGGCUCCAGUCACUGAUCUAACAGUGAGGGUUACCCAGAAUUUCUUUGAUUGACCAGCUCUAACAGUCAUAGCUGGAGGAUUAGUAUCAAUGGCCACAGCUGGUUCCAUUCUUGCCGUGAUCACAUAAGUUUCUUCCGCCCCAACAUUUGUCACCGUACGCGUGACAAUACGAGUUCCCACAAGACGGGAUAUUGCGAUGGAUGGGGAAUUUAGAUUUGACGGAUGGCCGAGAGUGUAGUUGCACGGUGAGUUUGUGUAGUUCCGUAUCUCGUGAGCGUCAAUUCCAGAUGUAGUGCACAAGAACCCCAGGUAGUCUUGAUAACCUACAAGCAAGAACAUUAACUCAGUAUUAGGUCUACACCCAAACUUGAUAGGUUUACAAGUAUAAUCAACAAUUUUAAUUGAUGUAAAUAAUAUUUGCAUAUGCCGGACUCCAAAAGAUAAGAGGGCAGAAUUUUUUCCCUUGGGAAAGCAAAAAAUACAAAUUCGCAUGGGUAGGCCCAUACAAUGUGUAGACAUAAAUUAGAACCACAAAAUAAAAUUAUCAAUUUUUAAUAUAGUUGGGAGAUAAAUCUGUAGCAAUCAUGUAAAGUUGCAUUGUUCCACAACCAAUAUUGGCUUCUUAUCCCAAAUUCCCACCCAUAUAAUUAGAUCAAAGGAUGACAAAAGAACAGCAAGCAAGACAAAGUUUAUGAGCUCGGGAAGUAAAUGCUUUCGCUUGGUUCACUUUAGUCAACAGUCAAUUUUCCAUCAAAUUCCCAACUCAGUUAAUUUCACUUUAGCAAGAACUAGAAAGCAUCUAUCUGAUCAUAAUAGAAAGGAAAAAAGAAAAGAUAGAAAAAAUAAGGAAAAGAAAAUUACCUGCAUCAAAUACGACUCCGGGAUCUAGAGCAGCUCUAGGAUUUACAUGGCCACUCCCAUAAUCAAAAGGUGUAGCUGGGACCAGUGUCAUGGUUUCAGAUCCAGAAUAUUGUUGGGCUUGAAGAGGCCUCUCCGCUCUGUCAAGCUUAGUCGAUGUCGUCAUCAAGGCUGAUUUGAUGGCAGCAGGACUCCAGUGAGGGUGCUUCUGCUUUACGAGAGCAGAAAUCCCUGCUAUAUGUGGCGCAGCCAUGCUAGUUCCAGAUAUCAUAGCAAAGCCUUCGCCUGCUCCAAGCAAAAAGGUCUUUUGAGUUGGCUCAUAUCAUAUCGUUUUUAAUUUUCUUCAUCGCCUGGUUCAUGAUAUGCUAUACUUUCUUAUCCUAUGAUGGUAAUCUGCUUCAUACAUAUUCAUUCCCAAAUAUGUAAGCACUAUAGUUUUCUUUCUAAUUCUUUCUUUCCCCCCAAACAAGGUUUUGAUAUUUUCAAUUGGCAACCAAGGAAAGGAGGAGAUAAGAAUUAAGAAAGAUACAGGUACUCCCUCUGUUCUAAAUUGCAUGUCCCAUUUGGCUACUUAAUGUUUCCCAAUAGCUUGGACAAAGUUAUUCUUAUGAAUUUUUUUACUAUUAAAUUUUAAGACUAAAAUUUGUGCUGGGAAAAGAUUAUCAAACAAAAUGUUAUCGAGUAUGCUAACAAACCUUGGUAUUUCAGAAUAAAUAAAUAAAUGGGACUGUCAUUUUGAGAUGGAGCUAGUAUUUAAUGCAUUAUUCUCUCGUCUAAUCAACAGAUGAGUUAUUGAUUUUGGACAAGUACCAUAAACCUACUAUUUCUUCAGAGAGCAAAAAAAGUUUAGGUGGAAUUACAUAACCUGAAAUCUUUGUUAUAUGCCAUUUCCUUCGAGUGAAAGUAAUAUAUCUACAUAUUAAUUCAGCCUUUUCAGUCCAGAAGCUAAAGAAGUUACUAAGGGGGAUUUUCUACUUUUUAGGAUUAAGCUUAUAAUAUUUAAAGGAUAGCAAGUUAAGUUUACUAGUAAUAAUAAUUACUUACCAACAUAAUUAGCCUCAUCUGUCCCAUUAGGUGACCAGGCAGCCCAAAUUAAAGAACCAGGAGCUAGAAUAUCUGGUUUGAGAAGAUCCGCAUCUUGAAAGCUAUAAUCUUUUAUAUUGGGUCCUCGAGCAGAGAACAAUGCUACUUGCGGUGCAGAUUUGUGAAGUAUAGGCCUUAAACCAUCUCCUAUGCUUCCUAUUGCUUUGAAACUCUUCACUCGUCCAGUCCAAUCCCUUGACGUAGAGAUAUUGUAGUAGUCUAUGAGCUCCUACGAAUUCCCAUGGAACCAAUGUUAGAAAAUAAGGUUCAGGAACAUGUGGAAGAGAACCAAUGAAAAGAAUGGAAAACAUAUGAGUUACAGAUAAUCAAUCAGAUGCAACAGAAUGGGUCACAGAGUAAUCUAGUUUUGUCUUGUGUGGCAAUUAUCAGGCAAGACAAGCAGGCAUGCAACCAAGACAUUUCAAAACUGAGCAGGAAAGUGAAAAUACUUCCUUUAUUUAUUUUGGUAGUCAUAUCAUAAUCCAAUCCAUCUUUGACACUGUUCAUGAAAUUACGUCAUAAUUGGCUCACAAAACCACCGAGUAUUCAUGACACAGACAAGAAACAUUAUGAUUUUAAAUAAAUCGAUAUUGACCCAUUACAACACAGAGUUGCCUGCACAGCAAUACUGAGCCCAUGGUAUCACCCAAUACAACAAAAAAAUUGCCUGAAGAUCAAUACUGAACUUGUAUCAAACUUCAGGAACCACAACUUGAGUACUAUGCCCCUCACUCUAGACAGUUUUCAACACAUACGGAGAAAAAGGAUUGUGAUAUUUACCAUUGACUUACUAACAUCUGUGAUCAGGAUUCCCGGAAGACCAACAGGAACAGGAUCAAAUUUAGUUCCUGGGGAAACAUUUUCUACAGCAAGAACAAAGCC
rnacentral:lncRNA from 1 species